rnacentral:rRNA from 1 species
AGCUCUCAGAAUGCAUGGAAGUGUUGCUGCGGUUAAAAGGCUCGUAGUCGGAUUGGACGGGCGGCGCCCUCCCGCUCCGGGGGGGCGCGCCCGGCGGGUGUGGCUGUGGCUCGGCCACGAGUGGGCUGGGCCCGGGCGACACCCCAGCACCUUGAAGAAAUCGGAGUGCUCAAGACAGGCGGCUGGCCUGGACGAUGGCGCAUGGAAUGGCAGAAGAGGGUCUCGGUCCGGUUCUGCGGGUUUGAGGACAGAGACAAUGAUAAAUAGAGGCAGACGGGGGCAUCGGUACUUCUGCGUGAGAGGUGAAAUUCUUGGACCGCAGGAAGACGAGCGACAGCGAAGGCAGUUGCCAAGCCUGUGUUCA